rnacentral:rRNA from 1 species
AACGAACGCUGGCGGCAUGCCUAACACAUGCAAGUCGAACGAGACCUUCGGGUCUAGUGGCGCACGGGUGCGUAACGCGUGGGAACCUGCCCUUAGGUUCGGAAUAACUCCCCGAAAGGGGUGCUAAUACCGGAUAAUGUCUUCGGACCAAAGAUUUAUCGCCUUUGGAUGGGCCUGCGUCGGAUUAGCUAGUUGUUAGGGUAAAAGCCUACAAAGGCGAGGAUCCGUAACGGGUCUGAGAGGAUGAUAAGCCACACUGGAACUGAGACACGGUCCAGACUCCUACGGGAGGCAGCAGUGGGGAAUAUUGGACAAUGGGCGAAAGCCUGAUCCAGCCAUGCCGCGUGUGUGAAGAAGGUCUUCGGAUUGUAAAGCACUUUAAGUUGGGAGGAAGGGCAGUAAGUUAAUACCUUGCUGUUUUGACGUUACCAACAGAAUAAGCACCGGCUAACUUCGUG